GAUGAAGAACGUAGCGAAAUGCGAUAAGUAAUGUGAAUUGCAGAAUUCAGUGAAUCAUCGAAUCUUUGAACGCACAUUGCGCCCGCGAGUAUUCUCGCGGGCAUGCCUGUCCGAGCGUCAUUUCAACCCUCAGGGCCCGCCUGCUUGCAGGCGCGGCGCUGGUGUUGGGGAUCGGCUACCCUGCCGUCCCCCAAGUACAGUGGCGGUCUCGCUGCAGCCUCCCCUGCGUAGUAGCAACACUCGCAUGCGGAGCGCGGCGCGGCCACGCCGUAAAACCCCCGACUUUCUGAACGUUGACCUCGGAUCAGGUAGGAAUACCCGCUGAACUUAAGCAUAUCAAUAAGCGGAGGA
rnacentral:misc_RNA from 1 species